AAUGCAUGUGGCAUCAAGGCAUGCAUGCGCUAAUGCAUGUGGCGCUUACAUGCAUUGGCUUUGCAUGCAUGCAUCAUGGCUUUGAGCGUCUCCUCUCUAGAUUAAUUGGAUGCGCCAGUACAACUGACGUAUCAGUAAAAAAAUAUGAUUAUUUUGAGAUUUUAUUUGAAAAUAUUAAUUAUUUUAAAAAAAAAAAUCUCAUGCGGGG
rnacentral:lncRNA from 1 species